AACGAACGCUGGCGGCAGGCUUAACACAUGCAAGUCGAGCGCCUCGCAAGAGGAGCGGCAGACGGGUGAGUAACACGUGGGAAACUACCCUUUGGUACGGAACAACUCCGGGAAACUGGAGCUAAUACCGUAUGAGCCCUUCGGGGGAAAGAUUUAUCGCCAUAGGAUGUGCCCGCGUCGGAUUAGCUAGUUGGUAGGGUAAUGGCCUACCAAGGCGACGAUCCGUAGCUGGUCUGAGAGGAUGAUCAGCCACAUUGGGACUGAGACACGGCCCAAACUCCUACGGGAGGCAGCAGUGGGGAAUAUUGGACAAUGGGCGCAAGCCUGAUCCAGCCAUGCCGCGUGAGUGAUGAAGGCCUUAGGGUUGUAAAGCUCUUUCACCCACGACGAUAAUGACGGUAGUGGGAGAAGAAGCCCCGGCUAACUUCGUGCCAGCCGCCGCGGUAA
rnacentral:rRNA from 1 species